rnacentral:lncRNA from 1 species
GUCCUGGGAAAGGCCGCGGAUAGAUCGGACAGUGAGGCUCCCUGUAGAGCUGUGGUUAAAUCAGUCUGCCCUGUGGCCACCCCGUAGGGCGUCCAGCUUUGUCCAGUAGGCUGCAGUGUCUGCUCAAUGCCGGGUGUAAAUAAAAAACUAUCGAAAUCAGCCAGGCUAAUGUUGCUUUCCAAAAUUAAGUGACUUGGGUGAUGUAGAAAUCGCGACUCAGAAUGUCUAGAAAGCAUGUUCGGAAUGCUUUCCAGAUCUCCACCCUUCAGCAAUUCGGUUUAUUCAAGGUUGAAACAGGGUAACAAGAUUUGUAACCUCUUAACCCUUCUACACCUCUACCAUCGACUCCCUGAUCUCGAAUCGUCAUGGAUUCGACCAUGAAGCAUUCACGAUGGAGCAAACUUUACCUUGAAUUCUUCCAAGAUGAAUUUGAGCCUGCGUGCUUGGGGGUAAAAACGUGGCUCUCACACCUAAGUCAUCAACAAGACUCUUGCAGAUUUCUUCUGGAGAGACAGAAAUAUCUGCAGCCAGGAGGACGGCUGUUGGAGGAAUUCAGGAGCAUUCGACGGAGUCUCCUGUAGUCGGCGAGUGGUCAGUUUUACACAUCCUCCUCAGGACCUCACAGGCAAGAACAGCAGGAUCUGCUUCCUUCAUGAAACCUUGGCUCUGUUCUAUCCAUCGACAGUCCUUCAGGAUACCUAACCUGUCCAGAAACCAAGGUGGGUGGGGGGAUGGACAGUACCACUUACCAUUCUCCCAUCAAUCCAUGACAGAAUUUGCUUUGUCUUCUACAGUGUUAUACUUUGCUGGCUGAGAGGCCUUAGUUCCAGCAAGGGAGGCAUCUUACCAGGAGAAAUAAUAAGAAUGGUGUCACUGAGCUGAAAAUUAGACUGCCACUUGGACGCUCUAGGCUCCUUGUGCCUCUGAGUCAACAGGCAAGGAAGGAAGUCAAGGGUGUUGCUGUAGGGUGGGGUGCUGAGUACUGAGGAGAAACUGGGCAACUACUCCACAGGUAAGGGAGGUAAGGAUAAGUGUGUCUGGACUAUAGGAGAAUGGCUCUAGUGAAGGCCCAUUGAAUAAAGGACCAUACCAGCUAAAGUUGCCAAAGGCAACAGAUAUCUACUGUGCAGUAGAAGAUAGUUAUAAAAACCAGCUAUGACCGUAUGGCAAGUCAUAGGAAUAAAAGCUAUAAUUGCUAUGGCUUCUCUCCAUGAAAGAGUGUGUAUUUGUAUGUGUAUUACUGUGCUGGAUAGUUUCAUGCCAACCUGACAUAAGCUGAGUCAUCUGAGAGAAGAGAACCUCAAUUAAGACAAUGCCUUAGUAAGAUCAGGCUGCUGGCAAGGCUGUAAAGCAUUGUCUUAAUGAUUGAUGGGAGAGGGCACAUCCCAUUGUGGGUGGUGCCAUCGCUGUCCUGGAUUCUAUAAAAGCAGGAUGAGCAAGCCAGGACUAGCAAGCCCGUAAGCACAUCACUCCACGGACUCU